rnacentral:miRNA from 1 species
CCUACUUCCUGACUGGGGUUUUU